GAUCCGGCUCUGAUGGAGAUAGUCGAUUCGGGCAGCAGUAGCAUCUUAUCGGGUGGGGAAAAAAACUGGAUCGAAGAAGAGUGGGCAGAAAAGCGGUGCGGUAGCUGAAGGAAGAGGGCGGAGGUCAUAGGGACGGUGGCGGACAGCACGGUCCCUCGUCGCUUGGCUUGCCUCCAGUUUUUUUCACGAUUCGGCCGUGGAUGCAGGGGACUGAGCCACGGCAUCACCGAUUGGCUUGCCUCCAGUUUGCAAGCGCGGAGGUGAAUUGCUACCUGAACAGGGGUGGUUCGUGCAGCCGGGACCAAUGGUGAGCCUGAGCGUGGAAGAAGCUCCGUGCGAUGGGAGCUGAUGAAACCUGCCGGCCUGGCGCAGGUGACCAACGGAGCAACCAUGGGUUCAGGCAUGAAUAGCUGACGGAAAACCGAAUACCUAAGUUUAACCGAGAGCUGGACAUGGGCAGCCGCCGGUAGGCAUCAGUAGCUCAAACCGAGCCCGGCCUGGCAGGCGAUUGCUCGGAUGAGGUGCUGUCACGGAACCAGAUGAGUUGUGGAUAACCAAAAACAUGCAGUAGUAAAAGCCAAUUCAGAAGUGUUGCAGGUCUGGAACCCCGCAUUGGCCAUCUCCAUAUUUUUUGCUAGUAUAUGCCAAAAACCAUGGCGCGGAAGCAGGACGACCUGGCCGGCCAACAGCAACAACGUCCACCCAUCAAAGGCCUGCAUGAAGAAAGACAUUGAGAUGGAAGACGCAUUCCACGGGAGGACAGGCAUCACGGCGGCAAUCGGUAGUAUGUGGCCGUGGCUGUCUUAGUUGCAGGACUCACCAGGGACACACAGAGCGGGGGCUCCUCUGUUGCCCUUCCACAUCUGAGGCACGG